AUUGAACUCUGGCGGCAUGCUUUACACAUGCAAGUCGAACGGCAGCGCGGGCUUCGGCCUGGCGGCGAGUGGCGAACGGGUGAGUAAUGCAUCGGAACGUGCCCAGUAGUGGGGGAUAGCCCGGCGAAAGCCGGAUUAAUACCGCAUACGACCUGAGGGUGAAAGCGGGGGACCGAAAGGCCUCGCGCUAUUGGAGCGGCCGAUGUCGGAUUAGCUAGUUGGUGGGGUAAAGGCUUACCAAGGCGACGAUCCGUAGCUGGUCUGAGAGGACGACCAGCCACACUGGGACUGAGACACGGCCCAGACUCCUACGGGAGGCAGCAGUGGGGAAUUUUGGACAAUGGGGGCAACCCUGAUCCAGCCAUGCCGCGUGCGGGAAGAAGGCCUUCGGGUUGUAAACCGCUUUUGUUCGGGAAGAAAUCCUCUGGGCUAAUACCCCGGGGGGAUGACGGUACCGGAAGAAUAAGCACCGGCUAACUACGUG
rnacentral:rRNA from 1 species